GGACUACCGGGGUAUCUAAUCCUGUUUGCUACCCACGCUUUCGUGCCUCAGCGUCAGUUCUAUACCAGGGGGCUGCCUUCGCCAUCGGUAUUCCUCCAAAUCUCUACGCAUUUCACUGCUACACUUGGAAUUCUACCCCCCUCUUACAAACUCUAGACAUACAGUCUUAAAUGCACGACCAAGGUUAAGCCCUGGCUUUUCACAUCUAACUUAUAUAUCCGCCUACGCACCCUUUACGCCCAAUAAUUCCGAUUAACGCUCGCACCCUACGUAUUACCGCGGCUGCUGGCAC
rnacentral:rRNA from 1 species